rnacentral:lncRNA from 1 species
GGGGUCUCCUAUGCCCAUGCCUCUCCUGACACAGGAAGACCCCGCUCCACUCUGGCGUCUCAGCCUCUUGUUUGCCCGCAGGACACCGCAGAGUAAGCCCCCGCCAUGUUGUAAUGAGCUUCUGGAGUAACUGAAGCUGAGCUGUCCCGGGUGGUCGCUGCCCCUCGCUGGGGCUUUGGGCUUCAACAAGAGCAAGCUCACGCCUUGGGACUCUGCAGCACAUGCAGAUGGGACACUGUGAGGUGGGGUCCUUGUGGGAGCAUUGCCUGACCCCCACCUGCAAUCCUCCUCCUCCGCCUGCUGCUGUGGGCUUGGUAGUGAGGCCUGGGGCACUUCCGAGGUCUUCCUGCAGAGUCCACAGAGACACAGGCUGGCCAGGGAGCCGGCCUCCACAGCACUCUGGCUGCGUCCCCAUAGGCUGGAGCCCUGGGGUCAGAGCCCUCCUGACCCGGGUCCUGCCCAAGGGCCCACCUCUGCUCUGCUGCGCCAGAGACCACGCCUUCAGCACGAGCUGUGGGCACCAGUCCACCCCAGAGCUGCCGUUUUGCUGGAUUUCCAGCCACUAGCCUCCAACCUGAGAGAGAGCCACCGGUUGGUGUGGAUUUGCUGCGGCAUCCUCAGGAGGUGAGUUCGAUCCACACGGCCUGGAACCUGGAGAUACGACUCGCACGUCUCUUGCUGCUGAGAAUGACUCUGCCUACUUUCCUUCCCAUUUAAACGCAUUUUGAGACAAUUCUAGAUUCCCACACUGCCACGGUGCAGAUGGGGCUGCCCCAGAGGCUCAUGUGAGUCAGCGCAGGAGAGCUCAGGGUGGACGCUGGCGUGGGAGAGCCCUAACCCGGGCAGCGCGUCGGCCCCUGAUGGCGAUUGACUAGGUGCUGACUGUGGGUGUCCAUCUUGUCCUGGUUGAGGAGAGCGUCCCUCUGCCGCCUGACCACGUCUGGAGCUGCUUCCCUGCUCCACACUCCGCCUCGGUGCUCUUCUCACCUGGGCCCCAGGACGGGCACCUCUGAAGCCGUGAGCCCCGGUGAAGUCCUAUCCUCGAGCUGCUUUCGUCACUUCUUCUGGUUCCGAAGCAAAAGAACCCAACACAUGCAGCCUCAGAAAGGGACCCAGAGAGCUACCAGGCACCCUGCACCCCUGUCCCCAAAGGCACCCUCCUGAGUAGCUGUGGUGCAAUAUCAUGACAGGAAACGGCCAUCCAUAAGGCCACGACUGGCUGCCGCCACCAGCAUCGCGCACACUCCUGCUGUGCAUUAGCCCCGAGCAGCUUCACACACCCAGAGGCCACUGAGCGAGCACCCAGGGGCCUCCUGCUGCCCUCUGCCUCGGCCACCCUCCCCCUGCACCACCUGUGACCACGGGGGGCUCUCCUCCGCCUCCAUGGCUACUGCUUAGGAACUGUGCGCACCACCAGGCUGCCCACUGCCUGGUCAUCCUCAUGCCCCCCUGAGGUCACCCAACCUUCUGUGACAAUGGUUUGUCCUGAUUGUGGCUGAGCAGGAGCCCACAGUGGGGGACAAUGGGCUGGACCCCUCACCUGCAGAAGGGCAUGGAGACUGCAGCCUGGAGCCCCUGGCCAGGAUGGUGUGGACGCUGCCUGUGGGUCUCUGAACCUCGGCUUCAUCUCCCUCUCUGGGGUGGACGCCUAGGGUGCGGCCCCCGUGGUGGGGACAGGUUCAGUUGGGGAAGAUUUUGAUGUCUUCCUGGUGAACUGAAAGGUAAUGUCAUGAUCAGAGACUCCUUUUCUUUCUCGUAAUAAUCCAGCUCUCAAAUAUAAGGAACAGUAAAGUGGAAGUUUAAAUAUUAAUAUAUUUUCGUAAAUGCUUGCAUCUAUGAUCCUGGGCUGACAAUUUUUACAACUUUUUAUUUGCAAAAGUCUUCAACCUUUUUUGCUCAGCAGGUAGCUGAAUCGAAAUGAAAAAUGGAACCAGACAGUUUUUACACUGCCAAGUUUUAUCAGCCUGUUUUCUGCGGCUGCGGAUGCAUUUUAAUCAUCUUUACGUCUCAUCCAUCCUUGAUUUCUUUUUGUUCUGAAGUUUCCACGCCAUGUCAUUCCCU